rnacentral:SRP_RNA from 1 species
GCUGGGCAUGGUGGCGCAUGCCUGUAGUCCCAGCUACUAGGGAGGUUGAGGUGGGAGGAUCGCUCGAGCCUGGGAGGUCAAGCCUGCAGUGAGCCAUGAUCAGGCCACUGCACUCCAGCCUGGGCAACAGAGAGAGAGCCUGUCUUUA